AUGCGUGAUCAGGUCGGCGUCGACCUGGACGGCUUCCCCCUCGACCAUGAGUUCCCGGACGACUAUGGGCUAGAGGAAAAGGACGAGUGCGACAUCGAAGUGGAGCCUUUGUUCGACGAGCUCGCCAACCAAGCCGCCGGGCCGAAGCCGAAGUGCAAGAGCAAACACACGAAGGCGUACACAGCUGCCGAGGACAAGCUUCUAUGCGAGUGUUGGCGAGACAUUGGACAAGACCCAAAGACGGGCGCCGAGCAAAAGCAUUCAACCUUUUGGACUGGUGUGCACCACGAGUUUCAUGAGCGCAAGAAGUUUCCACCCUACCAUUUGUGAGCACGCGCGGGUGGGUCUCCAUUUCCAAGCGGUGGAGGGUAA
rnacentral:rRNA from 1 species